UCAGGUAUUUGUAUUAUAUUUUUUAUCUUGAAUGUUCAAUUUAAUGAGUCCAGGGUUCAUUAGUCUAAUUAAAGGUAAGACGUUGUUAACCUGACUUACCUUCACCUUAGAUAGUCUUAUAAUGAGAGGGUGGGAAGGUGUGGUGUGGGUAGGUUAGGUUAGGUCAGGUCAGCGUCAGUUUAGAUUAGGGUGGUUGAACUUAAGAUGAAAUAAGCAGGCUAAGCUUCAUGUGAUUUAGAGUUGUGUUAUUCCUUUGUUUAUGAAUGGAUGUGGGCGGAGCCUAGUAAGAGAAGUAACGCCCCAGUCACACUAAGCUCCGCCCAUCUUCACCCAGCCUGCAUAUAUGCCACUCCACCCAGCUUACUCGCUUCAGUUCUGGCCGAGUUUUUCGGAGGGUUACGCGUAUGGAUUUUAUUAAGUGGACACAUCAUGGAACGCCACUCACGCACUGAGUGUGGGGGAGAGAUGGAGUGCGACUCGAAUACAGAGUGUGACCCCAACACCGAGUGCAGUUCAAACCCAGAGUGUGAUGCUGAUGGGCUAACAGUCAUGGAUUACUUGCGGGAGAAUUUGCGGCCAGUGGUCAGGACAGAUACGUUCGGUGACCUCGAGUUUUUGAUAUGUGGGGCCCUUGUAAGAAAAGAAAAACAGAACCCAA
rnacentral:misc_RNA from 1 species